rnacentral:snoRNA from 1 species
UGGCAACAAUGAUGAUGUCUUGACACUGUACGUAAUGCAUUGCAUUGCAUUGCAUUGCUCUAUGGAGACACCAGUCCCUCUAAACUGACGUUGCCA